CCCCUAGGAAGUCCUCGUGUUGCAUUCUU
rnacentral:rRNA from 1 species